GCGUAAGCGCACGCAGGCGGUCUGUCAAGUCGGAUGUGAAAUCCCCGGGCUCAACCUGGGAACUGCAUUCGAAACUGGCAGGCUAGAGUCUUGUAGAGGGGGGUAGAAUUCCACGUGUAGCGGUGAAAUGCGUAGAGAUCUGGAGGAAUACCGGUGGCGAAGGCGGCCCCCUGGACAAAGACUGACGCUCACGUGCGAAAGCGUGGGGAGCAAACAGGAUUAGAUACCCUGGUAGUCCACGCCGUAAACGAUGUCUACUUGGAGGUUGAGCCCU
rnacentral:rRNA from 1 species